CCCCAGCUGCAAUGCAAUCUAGCACAGCUGGGCCUGCUGGGCAGCACUUCGGUGGGGCAGGCACAGCUGCACUGAGUUUGGGGCUUUUUGGGGGUGGCUGUGGGGUACUUGUGCAGCCAGCACAUGGAGUAUGUUGGGAGAACAAGUCACUUUGGUACUGUUUCCUUGCUGAAUGUGGUGAACUGAACUACAAACAUACUUUCUCAAACCUCAGAAAAGAUAACCACCUGUCUGCAGGUUUGGCCUGCGUUACUCCUGCAUCUGAGCCUCCUGCAAGCCUGCUUUGAGAAUGCCUACUGGUUUUGCUGGUGCAAGCAAGCGGAGGAAUAGUUUGUUCCCACACCCCACAGCAGCCAUGGCUUGCUGCUGCAACACAAGGAGAGGUGUGCUGUCCUGCUGAGCAUAACCCCAGGAGGAGACUUGUCUGCAACAGCAAGGAACAGCAGGAAAGCCAACAUCAAGUAUACACUGAGCGCUUCAGAAUGGGAUUGUUAUUGGACAGCAGCGAAGUUAAGAUUUGGAACAGCCCACAGAAGGGCUGCUCUGCUAGGGAAAGUGCCUGAUGCAAGUCAGGACUUACAGCAUGUACUUGUGUUGAGGUCAGCAGCUGUCAAUUAAUUAAUUCAUUAAAAUACUUGGAGAGAUUUAAAAUGGGCACACAGUGAAAACAUGCAUGCAGGAGGAGGAUCCUGAAACCACUUAAGCUUCAGGGCAAACAAAAACCAGAUGGGAGAUGGGUGUGGUGAUGAAAAGGUGUAGGCAAGGGGCCCAUAUCUAUCAUUAUUCCUGCAGCUACAAUUUAAUUACCAUUCCUCGGCUUUGCGGAGAGAAUUUCUUUUUUUUUUUUUUUAAGUUAUGGGAAGGAGCACAAGUUCUGCAGUUGGAAGAUGCCCCUCAGCAUCAACCUAAAUCUGUUAAAGAUGCAUAAUAUGCUUUAUUCAUCACCUAGAAUAGAAAACGUUUCCCUCAACUUGAGCGUUAAGGAACUGCUUUCAAAAAACCUUAAAACGAAGCAGCAGAGUCCUGCGCUUCCUCUCCUCCCUGAGCAUCUCCUCCUUGCACCAGCAGCACCAAGGCAGAACUCUGCACGUGGCACAUGGAAGGCAAGGGGCCCUGCUCCAGCUGUUGGGGAUAUGCAGAUGUGCACUGCAACCUUGGUUUGUGCAGUUAGCUGGGACAACAGGAGGCAACAGCAGGUUACAGGAAGCAGAAGAAUCAGCAUGUCCUUGAAUGGAAAACAGUCCAAAGUCACCUAAUCAACUGCUUGAAAUUCACUUGUAGUAAGUCUUUCCCAGAAAACCAAAAGCACAUCAUUCAGACCUGGAAAGAUGCUGAAGGCUAAAAUGACUACACCUUGAAACAACCACAGCUUUGAGAAACAAAUACAUCUGCAAAAUUUGUGCACAAAGGUAACUAUCAAUAAUUCCUGAAAACAAAAAGCCAACCUUUAAGACAGAAUUGAGCUUGCUUACAACAGUAUUAAAAUAGACCCAAGCCUCAUUAAUACCACAUUAGAGCUCUGCCUUAGCAACACAUCAAUUAAACAUAUUUGAAGUUAUC